CAACACACCGUCAGCCUGCUCACCUGUGACACCUGUGUCUGAUUACCUGUGAGACAGUCUAAACUCAGGUGUCAGAGAAUACCUGUCUGCACCUGUCAGCUGCUCAGUGCUGCCACCAUGGCUUCCACAGUUACUACACUGUGACGGUUUUAGUGGCAAGACUUUUAAUUUAAUUUGUUUGUUUUCUGGGGUGCCAGCCAGGCUGUCCAGACGCAAAAGUCGUUUUGGUUUGUUAUUUUAAGUCACCACACUUAUUGUCAAAAACCCAACACAAAGGAUGUAAAAGUAUUAAACUAAACCACCUUAUAAAUAAAUAAGAAGAAUGAAACAGAAACUGCCACCCAAGUUCACUUCAAUAAAUCAUUCUUGUAUUAGGUAACAUAAAAAA